rnacentral:rRNA from 1 species
GCCUGCCCCGUAGACUAACAAGUUCAACGGCCAGCGGUAUUCUGACCGUGCGAAGGUAGCGUAAUCACCUGUCUUUUAAAUGAAGACCUGUAUGAAAGGCACCACGAGGGCUCAACUGUCUCCUACCCCCAGUCAAUGAAAUUGAUCUGCCCGUGCAGAAGCGGACAUAAAAACAUAAGACGAGAAGACCCUGUGGAGCUUAAGGCACAAGGCCAACCACGCCAAGCACCACCCAAAAGACACAAGCACAACAGCCACUGGCCCCACAUGCCUUCGGUUGGGGCGACCGCGGAGAAAAACAAAACCUCCACGUGGACCAAGGACACAGUCCUCAAAACCAAGAGACACAACUCCAAGCAGCAGAAAAUCUGACCAAAAAGACCCAGGCCCAAACACGCCUGAUCAACGAACCAAGUUACCCCAGGGAUAACAGCGCAAUCCUUUCCAAGAGUCCAUAUCGACGAAAGGGUUUACGACCUCGAUGUUGGAUCAGGACAUCCUAAUGGUGCAGCCGCUAUUAAGGGUUCGUUUGUUCAACGAUUAAAGUCCUACGUGAUCUG